rnacentral:rRNA from 1 species
CUACGGGAGGCAGCAGUGGGGAAUAUUGGACAAUGGGCGCAAGCCUGAUCCAGCAAUGCCGCGUGUGUGAAGAAGGUCUUCGGAUUGUAAAGCACUUUCGGCGGGGACGAUGAUGACGGUACCCGCAGAAGAAGCCCCGGCUAACUUCGUGCCAGCAGCCGCGGUAAUACGAAGGGGGCUAGCGUUGCUCGGAAUUACUGGGCGUAAAGGGCGCGUAGGCGGCGCAUUCAGUCAGGCGUGAAAUUCCUGGGCUUAACCUGGGGGCUGCGCUUGAUACGUUUGUGCUAGAGGUCAGAAGAGGGUCGUGGAAUUCCCAGUGUAGAGGUGAAAUUCGUAGAUAUUGGGAAGAACACCGGUGGCGAAGGCGGCGACCUGGUCUGAUACUGACGCUGAGGCGCGACAGCGUGGGGAGCAAACAGGAUUAGAUACCCUGGUAGC